rnacentral:rRNA from 1 species
GAUGAACGCUGGCGGCGUGCCUAAUACAUGCAAGUCGAGCGAACAGAUGAGGAGCUUGCUCCUCUGACGUUAGCGGCGGACGGGUGAGUAACACGUGGAUAACCUACCUAUAAGACUGGGAUAACUUCGGGAAACCGGAGCUAAUACCGGAUAAUAUAUUGAACCGCAUGGUUCAAUAGUGAAAGACGGUUUUGCUGUCACUUAUAGAUGGAUCCGCGCCGCAUUAGCUAGUUGGUAAGGUAACGGCUUACCAAGGCAACGAUGCGUAGCCGACCUGAGAGGGUGAUCGGACAGACUGGAACUGAGAAACGGUCCAGACUCCGACGGGAGGCAGCAGUAGGGAAUCUUCCGCAAGGGGCGAAAGCCUGACGGAGCAACACCGCGGGAGUGAUGAAGGUCUUCGGAUCGUAAAGCUCUGUUAUUAGGGAAGAACAAAUGUGUAAGUAACUAUGCACGUCUUGACGGUACCUAAUCAGAAAGCCACGGCUAACUACGUG